rnacentral:rRNA from 1 species
GACGAACGCUGGCGGCGUGCUUAACACAUGCAAGUCGAACGGAAAGGCCCUGCUUUUGUGGGGAGCGCGGGUGGCGAACGGGUGAGUAACACGUGAGUAACCUGCCCUUGACUUUGGGAUAACUUCAGGAAACUGGGGCUAAUACCGGAUAGGAGCUCCCGCUGCAUGGUGGGGGUUGGAUAGUUUCGGUGGUUGGGGUUGGACUAGCGGCUUAUCAGCUUGAUGGUUGGGUAGUGGCUUACCAAGGCUUUGACCAGUAGCCGGGCUGAGAGGGUGACCGGAUCAAUUGGAAUUGGAAUGAGGCCCGGCCCAGUACGGGAGGCAAGGGAGCAGUAUAGUGCACUGUGGGCGGAAGCAUGAUGCAGCACCGCCACGUGCGGGAUGACGUCAUGCGGGUUGUAAUGCGAAUUCGCCUGUGCCGGAACGAUAGUGACGGUAAUGGGUAAAGAAGCACCGGCUAACUCCGUG